ACUUGGCGACAUGGCGAGGAGCUGGGAAGACGGACACCGGAACGUGAGGAACACGAGUAGUUCAAGAAAAUGCUGAAGAUGCGCUUGGCUGGGAAGCUAGGAUAGGCUGACGAAGUCAGACUUAGUGUGGGAACCUGGCUGGGAAAGGGUUUCUUCUGUCCAUAAAAGCUACUCCAAUGGCUGUGGGAGACUUAAUUCCAAUUCCAGGUGAUACAGCCGUCAGUCUCCCACUAGCUGUAGGAUGGUGUGCUGCAGUUCACAGGGCAAAGGAGAUAGAAGUGGAUGAAAUGACAGAGUAUUUUUUUAAUUGUACUCUGAUUAAUGCCAAAAGUGUUCAAUCACUAUGUGUGGGGAAGUUUCCUGGUACAAAGGAAAAAAAAACAGGUUGUUCAUACACUUGGCUGUGUUAGUAAGUGACCUAAGUCAAUGUUAGUCUACCACUGUACGUCUGGUAACCUCAAUCCCUGCAACCGGAGCAAAAUGUGAUUCCAGGUCUUGGCAACCUUUGAAAUUCCAAUUCCAUUUGCAAGAGCUUUGAGGAGGCCAUAUGCUGAUUUCACCACAAGCAACUUCACAACCCAGUACUGGAAUGCCAUCAGCCAGCAGGCCCCUGCCAUUAUCUGUGACUUCUAUCUGUGGCUCAUUGGAAGGAAACCCAGGUGAGAAGCUGAGUCAAUGGCUUUGAGAAUGUCACUGCAUAUGGGAGAUUGAGGCCCCAAAGUCUUUAGGGCUUCCUUCAGCCAAAGAUUAAAGGAGACAACUGAAUCUGACCCAUAUAUACAGAUUGAACACACCUACUCUGAAAAUCCAAAAUCUGAAAUUCUCCAAAAUCCAAAAAGUUUUGAGUGCUGACAUGAUGCCACAAGUGGAAAAUUCCACACAUCUUACCUCAUGUGAUGGGUCACAGUCAAAACACAUUCAAAACUUUGUUUCAUGCAUAAAAUUAUUUAAAAUAUUGUAUAAGAUUACCUUCAGGUUAUGUGUAUGUGGCUAAGUGUGUAUGAAAUGUAAGUGAAUUUUGUGUUUAGAUAUGGGUCCCAUUCCCAAGAUACCUCAUUGCAUUGAAGCAAAUAUUCCAAAAUCUGAAAACAGUUGAAACCCAACACACUUCUGACCCAAGCAUUUCAGAUAAAGGAUACUCAAUCUGUGUAAGUUUUGAACAAACAAAGCAGUCAUAGUGAGAAGCCACAGAAGCCUCCUACAUUAAAAAUACUCCAGCAUAAUAAAGGAAGGUAAAUGUUAAAGCGCCUGCUUGAUGAAUUCAGCAAGUGAUCAUUCACACAAAAAGAAAACCAACUGAGACGCUGUCACUAGGGUUUUUCAAAUAGGUAGAGAAUCUUAAAUAUCCAGUAAUGAUGACAACCUCACUUACUGGGAGCUUACUCGUGGGGCUAAGGAGGAUGCGUGAUGAUCCCAUUUUUAUUGUCACAGCUACCGAAGGAAGAUACCCUCAUCAACCCAAUUUUACAAAUGGAGAAAUAGAAGCUCAGGGAAGAAUCUGAAGUAGUCUCAAAGGAAGUGACAGGAAGGAUGUGGAGAAAGCUGAGUGUCAAAGUCAGUAUUCAGGACCGGCUUUACUGCUACUUAGAGAUGAAUGAAGAAAUCAGAGGGAACGCAGUGUGCUGAUGCUAAAGCGGCUGUCACCACCCAGCUGUGUGACAUAGGACAUCUUCUUUCUCUGUCUCACUUGAAUAAUAUGAUGUGUCAGAGGAGACAUGAUUGUAAUUGCCUAAAGCAAUUCUUGUGAUCAAGAAUCAGAAGCAUGAACAGUAUUGCCCUCUGUGUUAGCCCCUUUAUAAGGGAGGAAGUCAUCUUCAGCAUGCUGAAUUGUCAUCUUUCUUAGCAGUGCAAAUGACUAAAACUUAGCCAAUGUAGAGUUUGUCCAAAUUUGGAGCUCAUAACUCAGUUCUUGAGCAAAGUGAAAAGAAAACAUUGUGAUUAUGGGGAAAAUAUUUGUACGGGACUUAUCAAAUAAAGAUAGGAAAAGAAGAAAACUCAAAUAUUAUAGGCAGAAAUGCUAAAGGUUUUAAAAUAUGUCAGGAUUGGAAGAAGGCAUGGAUAAAGAACAAAGUUCAGUUAGGAAAGAGAAACACAGAAGGAAGAGACACAAUAAAAGUCAUUAUGUAUUCUGUGAGAAGUCAGACAGUAAGAUUUGUGGGAAAUGGGUUGGUUUGUUGUAUGGUAUGUAUUUUAGCAAUAAUCUUUAUGGCAGAGAAAGCUAAAAUCCUUUAGCUUGCGUGAAUGAUCACUUGCUGAAUUCCUCAAGGUAGGCAUGAUGAAGGAGGGUUUAGAGGAGACACAGACACAAUGAACUGACCUAGAUAGAAAGCCUUAGUAUACUCAGCUAGGAAUAGUGAUUCUGAGGGCACACUGUGACAUGAUUAUGUCAUUACAUGUAUGGUAGUGAUGGGGAUGAUAGAAGGAAGAACUUAUGGCAUAUUUUCACCCCCACAAAAGUCAGUUAAAUAUUGGGACACUAACCAUCCAGGUCAAGAAAAGUCACAUGCCAUAGCCAUGGUAUUGCACAUCAUUCAUCUUGCAUUCUUUGAGAAUAAGAAGAUCAGUAAAUAGUUCAGAAGUGGGAAGCUUUGUCCAGGCCUGUGUGUGAACCCAAUGUUUUGUUUAGAAAUAGAACAAGUAAGUUCAUUGCUAUAGCAUAACACAAAAUUUGCAUAAGUGGUGGUCAGCAAAU
rnacentral:lncRNA from 1 species